rnacentral:rRNA from 1 species
GAUGAACGCUGGCGGCGUGCCUAAUACAUGCAAGUCGAGCGAACGGACGAGAAGCUUGCUUCUCUGAUGUUAGCGGCGGACGGGUGAGUAACACGUGGAUAACCUACCUAUAAGACUGGGAUAACUUCGGGAAACCGGAGCUAAUACCGGAUGAUAUUUUGAACCGCAUGGUUCAAAAGUGAAAGACGGUCUUGCUGUCACUUAUAGAUGGAUCCGCGCUGCAUUAGCUAGUUGGUAAGGUAACGGCUUACCAAGGCAACGAUGCAUAGCCGACCUGAGACGGUGAUCGGCCACACUGGAACUGAGACACGGUCCAGACUCCUACGGGAGGCAGCAGUAGGGAAUCUUCCGCAAUGGGCGAAAGCCUGACGGAGCAACGCCGCGUGAGUGAUGAAGGUCUUCGGAUCGUAAAACUCUGUUAUUAGGGAAGAACAUAUGUGUAAGUAACUGUGCACAUCUUGACGGUACCUAAUCAGAAAGCCACGGCUAACUACGUG